CUUCUUGUGCAUGGUCUGUGCCGUGACAUGGGUGAGCGUGCACUACAGGGACAGCUCUUGUGCCAUGGUGCCACACAGAUGUGUUGCACAGAAGCAUUUUCACAUGGAAGGACAGUAGCUGACAGAGGUGGAAACUGCAAAGUAGAGAAGCAGUCUCAGGCUUGUUUUCAGCACUCCUGAAAGGCAGCAAGUCCCAGGGCAGCUGCAGAGACCAGAUUCAGCUGUGCAGGGACCAGGACCAUGUGCAUGCUCCCUCUUUGGCUCUGGAUUCUCUUCCCAGUGUCUCCUGCAGGCAGCGUGGCAGUGACAGGCCCCCGGACGGUGAGGGGCACUGAAGGUGGGUCGGUGUCCGUGACAUGCAGGUACGACAAGGGCUAUGAGAAGUAUGGGAAGUUCUGGUGUAGAGAAGGAUCUUCCUUCCGCUGUUUCAACUGGGAGUUCAUCCUUGAGACCAACGGGUCGGAGGCAAAUGUGCGAGAGGGCCGCUUCUCCAUCCAGGACAACCACAGCCUGCAUGUGUUCACAGUUAGCAUGGAGCACCUGACCAAGGCGGAUGUUGGCACCUACCACUGCGGGGUGCUGAGGCUUGGACUGUUUGAUCCCAGGCACGCUGUGGAGGUGAUCGUGUCCCCAGGUAACUGCCUUCCCCUUCCUCCCUGCUCAGAGGAAAGAGGGGGUGGAGGGUGCUGUGGUCAGGCAGGCUCUCUAUGUGAAGGUCCCCAGUAAUGCAAGGGGAGAUUCAACCCUGAACACCAUCAGCCCCAUCACCCCCAUCACACCUCCUGCUCUCCCCACAGUGCCCUGUGCCUAGUGCUCCCAUUACAGAGGUUCCCCACGACCCUGAUCCUCUGUCUGACCCACCUCCUGGACAGACCCAGCAGAGCCUCGCGGGACCAGUCCAUGAUGCCAGCUGCAUUCUCCUUCCCGGUCCAAGGCACCCUGCUCUGGGCAGCAGCGCUACCAGGGCCUGAUCCUCCUGAAAGAGAGCAGAGGGUGGGAGUGGGGGCUGUGUCAGAGGGAACAUUGGCCCAUGAGGAGGAGUCGGAGGAGGGGAAGGAGUAGGGAGCAGCAUAAGCUGAUGACCCGGUAGAAACUGUGGGCUCUACGUGCGGCGCACCUGGCUGUCCUGCACCCCCAGGGCCUUACACCCCAACAGCUCUGGCCCUUCUGGAAGAUCUGGGUUGAGGCAGAUCGCACCCAAGAUCUGAGAGACCCCACGUGUGAGCCUAAGGCUGGGUCAUCCCAGGAAGGAAACCCAGAUGCCUGUGAAAAACCAGAGGCCGGAGAGUGUGGCUGGACUCAGGGGGACCCCCCGGACACAGGUGUGGUGGGAGCAAAAGGAGGGGCUGGUCUUGAUCACAGAGCUCUGGCUGCCAGGCCCUGGGACACAGGGGGGUUUCCCUCCUCUCACUCGGUGAAGUGGUGCUUGGGUUUGUGUUCCCUGAUUCCCAGGACCCAAAGGGUUGCCUUUGGCUCCGUGUGGCUCUCUAAACUACUAAGGGUUUGGCAUUUGCAUUCACUGUGAGGUAUAAGUACCUCUCCGGGUCGUGCUGUCCUGUGCCCCGGCCUGCAGAGGUGUUUUCUAUUGGUCUCCUGGGCAAUCAGGAGCCCGCUCUCUGCCUGCGCCUGGCCUGGCUGCUCCCAUCGGCUCGGCCCAUCAGCCCCGGUCGCUGACCCACCUGCAGGGCUCCCCUGAACCCCUGCUCUGCCGGAUGGCCGUGCCCUGAAGACUGGCCAUAAAAGGGCCACACCACUUUGCAGUAACAGGGCCAGGGCUCCCUGUUACAGUAACAAGCACCGGCUUGUUUCGAGGUGUCAGAUCCAGACACUGCCUUGACGGGUUCAGGUCCAGUGUUCCCAGUCAGAACAAACUCUUAUGUUCACACUGGAGAUUUUCUGCAGGAAAAUCUCUCUCAGAGAAAGUUUUCUGAUUCAGAAAAUGUGACGCCCUGUGUUGCCCUUUCUCCUCCUUCCCUCCGUGCACGGGCCAUGGCAUCCCCAGUCUUCCCUGGGAACGUCAUCGCAGGGCAAAGGGCUCAGGGUCUCUCUGUGUCAGUGUCUCCUCCAGGCAGCGUGGCAGUGACAGGCCCCCGGACGGUGACGGGCCCUGAAGGUGGGUCGGUGUCCGUGACAUGCAGGUACGACAAGGGCUAUGAGAAGUAUGGGAAGUUCUGGUGUAGAGAAGGAUCUUCCUUCCACUGUUUCAACUGGGAGUUCAUCCUUCAGACCAACGGGUCGGAGGCGAAGGUGCGAGAGGGCCGCUUCUCCAUCCAGGACAACCACAGCCUGCAUGUGUUCACGGUUAGCAUGGAGCACCUGACCAAGACGGAUGCUGGCGUGUACCACUGCGGGGUGCUGAGGCUUGGACUGUUUGAUCCCAGGCACGCUGUGGAGGUGAUCGUGUCCCCAGGUAACUGCCUUCCCCUUCCUCCCUGCUCAGAGGAAAAGCGGGUGGAGGGUGCUGUGGUCAGGCAGGCUCUCAAUGUGAAGGUCCCCAGUAAUGCAAGGGGAGAUUCAACCCUGAAGACCAUCAGCCCCAUCACCCCCAUCACGCCCCAUGCUCUGCCCGCAUUGCCCUGUGCCCAGUGCUCCCAUUACAGAGGUUCCCCAUGACCCUGCUCCUCUGUCUGACCCACCUCCUGGACAGACCCAGCAGAGCCUCGCGGGACCAGUCCAUGAUGCCAGCUGCAUUCUCCUUCCCCCUCCAAGUCACCCUGCUCUGGGCAGCAGCGCUACCAGGGCCUGAUCCUCCUGAAAGAGAGCAGAGGGUGGGAGUGGGGGCUGUGUCAGAGGGAACAUUGGCCCAUGAGGAGGAGUCGGAGGAGGGGAAGGAGUAGGGAGCAGCAUAAGCUGAUGACCCCGUAGAAACUGUGGGCUCUACGUGCUGCGCACCUGGCUGUGCUGCACCCCCAGGGCCUUACACCCCAACAGCUCUGGCCCUUCUGGAAGAUCUGGGUUGAGGCAGAUCGCACCCAAGAUCUGAGAGACCCCACGUGUGAGCCUAAGGCUGGGUCAUCCCAGGAGUGAAACCCAGAUGCCUGUGAAAAACCAGAGGCCGGAGAGUGUGGCUGGACUCAGGGGGACCCCCCGGACACAGAUGUGGGAGCGAAGGGUUGGGCUGGUUCCUGAUCACAGAGCUCUGGCUGCCAGGCCCUGGGACACAGGGGGGUUUCCCUCCUCUCACUCGGUGAAGUGGUGCUUUGUUUGCGUUCCCUGAUUCCCAGGACCCAAAGAGUUGCCUUUGGCUCCGUGUUGCUCUCUAAAUUAUUAAGGGUUUGGCAUUUGCAUUCACUGUGAGGUAUAAGUACAGUUGGGUCCUUUUGCCAGCCCUUGAAAUGAAGGAAUGUGUGCUUUAGAGGAUCCAAACAUUUUCAACCUACCAUUUUAAUGAAGGAGCUGGAUGGUGAGCUUAUACCACAGUUGCGCUGGGCUGCGUCACAUAAGGACAUUGAGUUGUGCUGUCACCUAACAGUGCUGGCAGCACAUCCCCGCCAUCAGGUGCAACUUGCACCCAAUGAAGCUCUGGUCUCCUUUGCAGUGCUUCCCACCCCAGUGUUAUCAACCAUGGAGACCCCGACUUCUACUGAGUUCACAAUGCCCAUUUUAACCUGGAGAAUUGCUACUGUGCACAGUGUUCCCCAAAGGUCAGUGCCCGUACCCUCACCCCAGGUUGAGGACAUCUAGCCCAACUGCACCCCAUUGCUGAAAACGUCCCACGGGGCUUCUUUGAUCAGCAGCUCCUUGGAGGCAGACUCUGUGGGUAGGACAGCACUGACUGGAAAGGGCAGACUGGGAACCAAGCUGCUGCUGGCUCUGGGACUGCAUGAAUGAAUCCCCGAGGAAGUUGUGGGGGUCUGUGUCAGGGGCAGGUGCUGAAACCCUGGGACUUCCUUUUCUUCAUGCUGAAACAUCCUUCCCACCUUCAGCCUGAGAGCAGCCGGGGAACAGGUAGGUCAGUGGGAGGAGUGUAUUCAAAUCUAGAGAGUUCACCUCUCCCCACUGUCACCCAACUGCACAGCUCCCAGGCCAGCCACGUCCACUUCCUGCUCCUGGUCGGCCUGAAGGUGCCCGUGUUCCUGUGCAUGGUCUGCGCUGUGGUGUGGGUGAGCGUGCGCUACAGGGGCAGCUCCAACGACUAGAUGCCACAGACACGCUCAUGACUGGCCUCCCUCGUGGACCUGGGAAGGACUGGGACCACCACAACGAUGCGCCCCGCUUUGCCCUGUGUUCUCCACCUCCCUGAUUGCCCUCUCCCUUACACUGGAGUGAAGUCAAUGGAGCCACCCUGGAAAGAGCCCCUUCCCACCGGGCCAUAUCCAGGACCCCCGAGAGCAGAGUGAGGCCCAGACUUUGCAUGAGUCUCCACGGAUAGAAAAGAUGUGGCCCAGGGAGCAGUUGGACACUGCUCCUGUGGGAGGAUCGUGUUGCUGCCUCUGGACGCAGAUGGGUCUGGGAACAACCCCUCUCACGUAACUGGGUACAGGGAUGUCAGGCCACCUGAGCUCCAAAGUGUCUGGAGUGUUAAAUCUUUUUUUGGGUGUCACUUACCCCAUCCAGGGGGAGGGUUGCCUUUGUGUCACCUUGGGUCUCAAUCCGCUUCUUGACUGAGCUCCUAGGAAAGACCCAACUGUUGCAGGGUCUCGCAGACAUGAGUAGAUGGCUUCUAGCCCAACUGCAUCUGUUACAUGCCAUUUUGCCUAACUCCCUAACUUGCCCAACUUUUGUUGCUUACUUUGAAUUAACCUUUUUGCUCACUGCAUCUUUUAUCGGGUCAUCCAGCCGUCAGUGAAGCCUGUUACUCCCAAGGUCCUUUGCAGUGUCUUAGCUUCAUUAUAGCUUAGCAUAUCCACAGCCUGGCAUACCCCAAACCCCUGCAGUCCCCGUGGCUGUCAGCAAACCAUCCUGCCAGGAAUGGCAUACACUGUCCCGAGACACUUAGAGGCCAAGAAGUACCCCCCGUUUCAGCAUGUUUCCCCGUCUUGUCCUGGAUUUGAAGCGGCAGCUGGCUGUAUUUGUUGUGUCGUGUGAUUGUGGGGUUCUUCUCCCAAACCAAAGCCAAUAAGACCCUGGAUGGACCCUGUUACGGUUUGUAAAUACCUUAAUGCCUUCAAUAAAGUACUGGAAGAAACAUCC